GAGCUCUUAUGUUAAAAAAAUUAACAUACACUUUUUCUCAGUUUGCCUUUAAAAAAGAUCCCCUUGCUUCAGCUACAUUCAUCACUCAAUACCACAGUACACGGAUCUCCACGGACUGUCCAUCCCUGAGUAAAUCCAAUACAACGAAGAAGGGAGGUGUCCCUCUGUUACAUUGAUUUCAGAGUGGAAUUGUCAGACCAAGGAAGCUACAAAAAUGCAGCCUCAUGGUUUACUGCCCAGUCGUUCUCCACAGUGAACAGCACCCAGUUAAACUCUCCCAGCAGGGCUAACAGUGCCUGUCACGUUGCGUCUCUUUUAGUGCUUCCAAAUACUUUAUGUGCUAAAGGAAAAGUGUUGUUAGCCUACAGUCUAAGGACUUAACUGUGGACAAGGCACUUCAACAUCACCUGCCUGAGUCUCCACUCACUCUUCUAAGCACUUUCUGAGCUUCUGCUUCUGCCGAUGAGGAAACUGAGAUGUGCUCAGGGUCCUAGAGAGGUGGGGAGGAUGCUGUUGGACACAAGACUGUCCACCCACUACUGAGCCCUGCCCACCUCCCACCAACUCCUCUCUAGUCCCAAUGUCUUAUUUCUGCAGAGAAGGGCAGCACUGUGUGAGGCAGUGAGGGGUACAGAGCCUUGAGCACACAGGUCUGCUCCCUAGAAGGGCCUCCAGAGGUGCCUUCGGGAACAUGGCAUGUCCCCUCUACUGCUGCGUUGUUUCCAGAACCUCGACAUGUGUCCUUGAGGGAGAGGAGACUUGAGGACAAACACCCUUGGUCUUUUGCAUUGGUUUCUCCUCUUCUUUCUACAUCAAGAGAGAUGUCAAGGAGAUGGAGCCUCAGGGGACGGAGCUUCAGUUUAUGUUUCGACUCAAGGCUCCUUCGAAGCUGCCAAUCAUCCUGUGUCCCCUGCUGACGGACUGGCUCAGCAAGUUCAAGACUGGAUCAGAACAUAGGAACACAAUAGUUGCUGACCAAGCAACCAUCUUGUCUGUCUUCAAAUUGACCAACUGUAAGGUGGGAGGGGAAAAUUCUCCGGAGCUUUUAAAACCCCAGCCCUCAGGACGAGACUGGGCUUCUGGAUUUUCGAGUCGUCCCCCUGGCGCCUCCACCACCCCCGCUCCGUUGGCUUCUCAGAGGGUCUUUUUCUCAGUCGUCACCUGUGCUUUCUCCCCCCUCAAUAAAUGCCUUUCUCCAGCC